rnacentral:rRNA from 1 species
CCUACGGGUGGCAGCAGUGAGGAAUAUUGGUCAAUGGACGAGAGUCUGAACCAGCCAAGUAGCGUGAAUGAUGACUGCCCUAUGGGUUGUAAACUUCUUUUAUAUGGGAAUAAAAUGUUCCACGUGUGGGAUUUUGUAUGUACCAUAUGAAUAAGGAUCGGCUAACUCCGUGCCAGCAGCCGCGGUAAUACGGAGGAUCCGAGCGUUAUCCGGAUUUAUUGGGUUGAAAGGGAGCGUAGGUGGAUUGUUAAGUCAGUUGUGAAAGUUUGCGGCUCAACCGUAAAAUUGCAGUUGAAACUGGCAGUCUUGAGUACAGUAGAGGUGGGCGGAAUUCGUGGUGUAGCGGUGAAAUGCUUAGAUAUCACGAAGAACUCCGAUUGCGAAGGCAGUUCACUGGACUGCAACUGACACUGAGGCUCGAAAGUGUGGGUAUCAAACAGGAUUAGAUACCCCAGUAGUC